CCGCUGGGCUGAGCGCUGCUCGCCUGCCAGUCAUCGUGGGGGCGAGUCUCUUGCUUUCCAGGAUACUGUAAGUUCAGAGGAAGCAGCAUCAGCUCUGUCAAAUCCUCCUGAUGAAGAGUUUGAGGGAAUCGGGGAUUACGAGGAGUCUUUCCUGGCUGAAUGGUGGCAGGAACCCAAAACUAAAGGAGAUACAGGAGAGCCAGCUGAAUAAGCACAAACCAAAUCAUAUACUAUUAUUUAUACUGGUACCCUGAGGGAGUCUUCAUCUGGUGUCUUCCUCAUCCCCGUUGACUCUUUCCCCGUUUUUCGUUAGAGAUGAAUUGUACUGUAUCCAGUCUAACUUUACUUUUAACUAGAACAUUUGGAGCUUUUGUAUAAUUUUGAUGCAAGAAGUUUUAUAAUAACAGUCUCUCAUCCAGAUUUUUUUUAGUUUAGAUGAGCUCAUUGAAACUGGAGACACAUCACCAAUCUAAACUCUGCUUAACAAAAUCAGGUCUGUGUUGGGAAUAGUAUUUUUACAUUAAACCUGUUUUUUAUGUCUUUUGUUCCCUCCCAUGUAUUUCAUGAUGUGUUAUCUAUUAAAAAAUAUUUUUGUUGA